GGAAGGAUCAUUAUUGAAAAACUGCUUUCAGUUUUUUACAUCCCAUUGUUUACCUACCCUGUUGCUUCCACUGGACAGGUUUCACCUUGUGUGAGCCCUGUAGCAUGUGUGUGAAUAACACCUGCUACAGAGUUGCUAGUGGUAAGCCCAUCAUCAAAACUUGACAUGAAAAUAAGUCUGACUCUUCUUUGAAAUAAAAUAAAACUUUCAACAACGGAUCUCUAGGCUCUUGCAUCGAUGAAGAACGCAGUGAAAUGCGAUAAGUAAUGUGAAUUGCAGAAUCUCGUGAAUCAUCGAAUCUUUGAACGCACAUUGCGCCCUAUGGUAUUCCGUAGGGCAUGCCUGUCUGAGCGUCAGCUCCCCCCCACCUCAAGCAUCUGUAGAGAAGCUUGGAUUACUUUGGAGAAGUGGUUUUUGUAGGUGCCAAAAGUUGCCCCAAAUUUCCGCCCCCCAGAAAUACAUUGGCAGUAUGGCUUUCCAAACUGGACGUAAUAAGCAUAUAAAAGCGUCUCUGUUUAGUGAGUGUUGUGCUUGCCUUAACCCACCCAAUUUUUUUUCUGGGUGACCUCAGAUCAGGUAGGGAUACCCGCUGAACUUAAGCAUAUCAAUAAGCGGAGGAAAAGAAACCAACAGGGAUUGCCCUAGUAACGGCGAGUGAAGCGGCAAAAGCUCAGAUUUUAAAUCUGGCGUCAUUUUGGCGUCCGAGUUGUAGUCUGUAGAGGAGUAUUCGAGUAUGGCUUUGGCUUAAGUUCCUUAGAACAGGACGUCAUAGAGGGUGAGAACCCCGUUAACGGCCUCUGUCUUAUGCUCAUGUGAAUCUCCUUCAACGAGUCGAGUUGUUUGGGAAUGCAGCUCUAAAUGGGUGGUAAAUUCCAUCUAAAGCUAAAUACUGGCAAGAGA
rnacentral:rRNA from 1 species